ACUGAACGCUGGCGGCAUGCCUAACACAUGCAAGUCGAGCGAGCGGCGGACGGGUGAGUAAUGUCUGGGAAACUGCCUGAUGGAGGGGGAUAACUACUGGAAACGGUAGCUAAUACCGCAUACUAAUAGAUGAGCCUAAGUCGGAUUAGCUAGGUGGUGGGGUCAAGGACUACCAAGGCGACGAUCUGUAGCGGGUCUGAGAGGAUGAUCCGCCACACUGGGACAGAAAAAAGGGCCAGGAGCCUACUGGAGGCCGCCAUGGGGAAUAUUGGGCAAUGGGGGAAAACCUGAACCAGCCAUGCCGCGUGUGUGAAGAAAGCCUUCUGGUUGUAAAGCACUUGAAGCGAGGAGGCGUUACUCGCAGAGAAAGCACCGGCUAACACUGUGCCAGCAGCCGCGGUAAUAC
rnacentral:rRNA from 1 species